rnacentral:lncRNA from 1 species
CUAGUUUAAAAAAAUGUGUCCGGUGACCCGGCCAACCAACCAAGAUGGCCGCCAUGGCUAAAAAUAGAACAUAGGGGUAAAAUGCAGUUUUUGGCUUAUAACUCAAAAACCAAAGCAUUUAGAGCAAAUCUGACAUGGGUAAAAUUGUUUAUCAGGUCAAGAUCUAUCUGCCCUGAAAUUUUCAGAUGAAUCGGACAACCCGUUGUUGGGUUGCUGCCCCUAAAAUGGUAAUUUUAAGGAAAUUUUACUGUUUUUGGUUAUUAUCUUGAAUAUUAUUAUAGAUAGAGAUAAACUGUAAACAGCAAUAAUGUUCAACAAAGUAAGAUUUACAAAUAAGUCAACAUGACCGAAAUGGUCAAUUGACCCCUAUAGGAGUUAUUGCCCUUUAUAGUCAAUUUUUAAGCAUUUUUCGUAAAUCUUAGUAAUCUUUUACAAAAAUCUUCUCCUCUGAAACUACUGGGCCAAAUUAAUCCAAACUUGGCCACAAUCAUCUUUGGGGUAUGUAGUUUAAAAAAUGUGUCCGGUGACCUGGCCAUCAAAUCAAGAUGGCCGCCACGGCUAAAAAUAGAACAUAGGGGUAAAAUGCAGUUUUUGGCUUAUAACUCAAAAACCAAAGCAUUUUGAGCAAAUCUGGCAGGGUGUAAAAUUGUUUAUCAGG